CUGCCUGCUAAAGGUACAACUAUGCAACGUCCCUACAACUGCUGGGCUUGGAUGACGGCCCUGAGCCCAGUGAUAGCAAUCCUAUCGUGAUGAGAGGGGCAUACAUGUCCUUUCUGUAUCUGCGCCACCUUUGAAUCCAAGAACUGCAGAGAACCUGGUCCCCACCAUGGAAGAUAGUUCCUGGGUAAAUAUGGCAAAAGGAGGUCUGGUCACAUCACAGGGCCUGGGCGCUCACCACUACGUCCAUGAGACGCCCACCGAGCACAAGGUCCACAGCGUCCAAUUCAUGGAGUUCUCGGAAGUGGAGAACCAGGGUGACUCCUACAGCACGAAAGCCAGCUGUAUCCACACCCAGGACCAGCAAGGGGUGCAUGUCAUGUAUGAGGAAGCCCUAAGCGAUCUGAAGGGACUAGAGGCGGUGUUCCUGCUUGUGGCCAGCCAUUACACUGAGAAAGAAAAAUGUCACAAAGUGGGCACCCAGCCAAAGAGUGGUCAGGACUGGGCAUGGGCCCAUGCAGGUGUGGACAGGUUUGCUGUGCUGUAUGACAUGUGGACUCAGGAAGCAGCUUUUCUGGAAAACAAAUGCCAGAGUUUUGACAGUUACUUUGAAGCCUACCAGCACAUGUUGGACGCUGAAGAGAGGUUCGCCUUAGCACAAGUGAUGAUGGAUAUCACGCACCGGUGCCCGAGCCCGGCUUUGAAAAAUGUUUACCUGCUGGAGUUCCACCCUUCCCUCAGCCUGGCAGCGCUUAUCCCCAGAGCCCUAGAGUAUCUCCUUCAAGAGGUCUGCCAUACCUGCAAACCUGCAUUAGCGGUUGCCUUGCCUCCCUGGAGUGACAUGUCCUGCAGCUGGGCCUGGACCUGUGGCUCACCCCAGCCAAGCCUGAGGCCUGGUACAGUACACAGCUCCAGAAAGAUCUGUUUUCAGCUAAAGUUAUGA
rnacentral:lncRNA from 1 species